rnacentral:rRNA from 1 species
GAUAUUUGACAAUGGGGGCAACCCUGAUCCAGCCAUGCCGCGUGUGUGAAGAGGGNCUNNGGAGUNUNAAGCACUUUAAGUUGNNNNNAAGGUCUUUAGGUUAAUACUCGGAAGUUUUGACGUUACAGACAGAAUAAGCACCGGCUAACUCUCUGCCAGCAGCCGCGGUAAGACAGAGGGUGCAAGCGUUAAUCGGAAUUACUGGGCGUAAAGCGCGCGUAGGUGGUUCAGUAAGAUGGGUGUGAAAUCCCCGGGCUUAACCUGGGAACUGCUUUCAUAACUGCUGAGCUAGAGUACGGUAGAGGGUAGUGGAAUUUCCUGUGUAGCGGUGAAAUGCGUAGAUAUAGGAAGGAACACCAGUGGCGAAGGCGACUACCUGGACUGAUACUGACACUGAGGUGCGAAAGCGUGGGGAGCAAAC